GCGGGGUUGGCGGAAUUGGUAGACGCACUGGAUUUAGGUUCCAGCGCCGCAAGGCGUGAGGGUUCGAGUCCCUUGCCCCGCACCA
rnacentral:tRNA from 1 species